CGCGUAGGCGGCUUAUCAAGUCAGGGGUGAAAUCCCGGGGCUCAACCCCGGAACUGCCCUUGAAACUGGUUGGCUAGAAUCCUGGAGAGGCGAGUAGAAUUCCGAGUGUAGAGGUGAAAUUCGUAGAUAUUCGGAAGAACACCAGUGGCGAAGGCGACUCGCUGGACAGGUAUUGACGCUGAGGUGCGAAAGCGUGGGGAGCAAACA
rnacentral:rRNA from 1 species